UGGGGAAUAUUGCACAAUGGGGGAAACCCUGAUACAGCAACGCCGCGUGAAGGAAGACGGUCUUCGGAUUGUAAACUUUUGUUCUUGGUGAAGAAAAAUGACGGUAGCCAAGGAGGAAGCCACGGCUAACUACGUGCCAGCAGCCGCGGUAAUACGUAGGGGGCGAGCGUUAUCCGGAUUUACUGGGUGUAAAGGGAGCGCAGACGGAAGAGCAAGUCUGAUGUGAAAACCCGGGGCUCAACCCCGGGCCUGCAUUGGAAACUGUUUUUCUGGAGUACUGGAAGGGCAGGCGGAAUUCCUGGUGUAGCGGUGAAAUGCUUAGAUAUCAGGAGGAACACCGGUGGCGAAGGCGGCCUGCUGGACAGUAACUGACGUUGAGGCUCGAAAGCGUGGGGAGCAAACAGGAUUAGAUACCCUGGUAGU
rnacentral:rRNA from 1 species